GUGCAGCAGGCGCGAAACCUCCGCAAUGCUCGAAAGAGCGACGGGGACUCCAAGUGCCUACGCUCAGCGUAGGCUGUUCCCGAGCCUAAAAGCUCGGGGAGUAAGGGCUGGGUAAGACGGGUGCCAGCCGCCGCGGUAAUACCCGCAGCCCGAGUGGUGGCCGCUAUUAUUGGGCCUAAAGCGUCCGUAGCCGGCUCGGUAAAUGCCUGGGUAAAUCGUCUGGCCCAACCAGACGAAUUCCGGGUAGACUGCCGGGCUAGGGACCGGAGGAGGGAGAGGGUACUCCAGGGGUAGGGUGAAAUCAGCAAGGUGAGUUGCUGAUGUAACUUGCCUUGCAAGUCACAAUCCUGUAAUCCCUGGAGGACCACCGGUGGCGAAAGGCGCUCUCCUAGGACGGGUCCGACGGUGAGGGACGAAAGCCAGGGGAGCAAACCGGAUUAGAUACCCCUGUAG
rnacentral:rRNA from 1 species